CCUGUUUUAGUUUCAAGAAGAGAGAACAAGGCAGAAGUCAAUAUGUGAAAAAGACAGGAUGGGAUUGAUAUUCUACCAACCUAUAAGAACAACAAAACAAGUAUAGAAUUCAUUGCUAGAAAGAGAUUCAAUCUUCAAGUAUUCGUUUAUCAUUUUAUCAAUGGUAAUUUUGAUUAUCUCGUUCUUAAGUACAUUGUACUAUGUGGGGUCCAAAUCAGUCACAUUUUUUCCUGCUAGCAUUAUGUACAGAAGGGGCUGGCCCACCUUUCAGAGAACCAGACUGUUCAUCUAGUGAACCCCAUAUGUGGAUGUGAGAUGGACCAAGAAACUUUAGUCAAUAAUCCUAUCCAUCAAUUGGAGUUUAUUUUUAUCAUCCCUUUGCUGGCUGACAAUUGAACAGCUAGGAUUGUCCAUGAUUUCUUCUUUUUUCUUUCUUUUUUCCUUUUUUCUUUCCAGCACCGCCCAUUCAUGGGGGACUAACCAGAUGAACUGUCUAAAUCAUUGGAAGGUGGCCCCACAUGUAUAAAAUGUUGGCCCAUACCAAAAUGCUGCCAGUUUCUGGCAAGGACUCCAUAUUUCUGCCUUCAUCAAUGGACAGGGUAUGAUCAGGGCCGUUGGAUCCAGAGGUCACUUAGAGUUGCACGGAUCUGACCAACACAAAACAAGUAAAGAAUUCAUCGCUAGAAAGAGAUCAAAUCUUCACAGGCAGAUGAUAAAUCCACAUGACUAUGGAAUGAGUUAGAAGACUGUAUGGGGAUCACUCCAAUGAUAGACUGAUAUCACUAAAAACUAUGUUACUCUUUUCGUAAUUGAAGAAAGAAAAUUAUCAUAGAUGGUUAUCCAAAUACUCAUGGUAUUUGCAAUUUUCAAAUUUACCCAUACGUGUAUGCAUGCAUAUACAUAUAAAUAUAUACAAGGAGUGCUCCAGUGAGGGUCCCACAAGGUGCGUGGAUGACAUCAGCAAAUUCGCUGCACCAUGAUGGUCAAACACCCUGAAAGUCAUGCCAAUCGAAUCACCGACAGGCCAAACCACAGAAAACAAUGUAAAAUCGCCCAAAAACCAAAAUCAAGUGGUGAGGCCCACCUGAUGAUUUGAUUGGCCUAUUUUUGGGGCAUCUCAUGAUCAUGGUUAGGCAAUACUGUUUGUGGGUUGGAUGCCAUAUGCAUACAAGCCCCCUACCAUGAUCAUGGUUAGGCAAUACUGUGUGUGAGUUGGAUGCCAUAGAAAACAAUGGAUGCGACACACCAUGUGGGCCCCACAAUAGCCCCCUACCACCAUUACUUAUGGUGCUAUGGUACCACCAGAGCAUUCCUCCUACAAAUAUGUGGCGCAUGUGCGUGUGGAUGGUACAUAUGUCGUGUAUGUAGUAUAUGCAUGUGAAUGUGUGUAUUUAUGUGUUUAUUCAAAAUAUGUUCAUGCAACUAACUUACAAAUCCCCAUCCGCUCUUGGUGAACAUAUCCCCAAUGAUGCCGAAACCAUCCCUCUUUGACAGAAAGAGUUUUAUAUAUGGAAGCUCGUCUACGAUUGCAGCAACCCCCCCUUCAACCUUCGGUCCAAGCCGCAAUGCUCUUUCAUAUUCUUCUGGGUUGUGAAGUACCACGAGCCUUGAUGGAGGUAUGUUAAGACUCUCUAUCAUAUAACUCCGAGCAAAAGAUUCCACUGGAUAUCCAAUGCGCUCGUUGCUUGCUAUCAAACUAUCAAUCCCUGUGAUCGGCGAUGACAGCUGUUGGAUUGUAAGGAUCGAAGUCAAGCUGGCCGUGUAGCUCGACGUGAUCACCAUCAAUAGGAAAAGCCAUACGAUCAUCACCAUGCGUGCAAGAGUGCUCAAAGUUUCUUCUUCUGCAAUGUUUUUUUCACGCCACGAAACAAAGAUUUCAUACUCAUCAAUCCACUGGACAGUGGUUUUAGAUCUUUA